GGUACUGAGCUUCUGCUGCAGAUUCACAGAAAGGUUCCCUAUCUAAGUGAUUUUUCUGUACCUGGGUAUCCGAAUUUUUCUUUUACAAGUUUUCUCACUAUAAGGCCAAACUGGUUGUAUACCAGAAAGCCCCAGUGAUAUAUGGGAUUUCCCACCAAGCACGUAUGAACGAGUCUUAUCGUAUUUUACUGUUCGUAUAAACAACUGUACAUUCCAGUCACUCGAGAUGUGCCCCUGAUGAAGUCUUUUGUAUAAGACGAAACGCGUUGGUUUAUCUGUAUUGUGAUGUUAUCUCCGAACCAACCAUAAGGAGAAGGAGGAGACUGUUGUCAAUCACCUACAAUUGUAUUCGGACAACGCUAAAAAUGUACCCCUGAUGAAGUCUUUUGUAUAAGACGAAACGCGUUGGAUUAUCUGUAUUGUGAUGUUAUCUCCGAACCAACUAUAAGGAGAAGGAGGAGACUGUUGUCAAUCACCUACAAUUGUAUUCGGACAACGCUAAGAGUCAUACUGCUUAAAGUGUGGAAUAACACAUCU